rnacentral:rRNA from 1 species
GCCUAACCAUAACACAACAAUCAAAUUACCAAUUGUUCGCCAAAUAACUACGAGUAAAAACUUAAAAUUUAAAAGACUUGACGGUACCCCAAAACAACCUAGAGGAGCCUGUCUAAUAACCGAUACCCCACGAUCAACCCAACCCUCCCUAGCCUACAGUCUAUAUACCGCCGUCGCCAGCCUACCUUAUGAAAGAAACAAAGUGAGCUGAAUAGUCAUUACACUAACACGACAGGUCGAGGUGUAACUCAUGAGAGGGCCCAAGAUGGGCUACAUUUUCUAACCCAGAAAACACGAAUAAACUAUGAAAUAUAAAACUGAAGGCGGAUUUAGCAGUAUACUAAGAACAAAAUACUUAGUCGAAAUCAACGCAAUGAGGUGCGUACACACCGCCCGUCAUCCCUGUCAACUAACCAAAAACAUUCAUAAUUAAAUACAAGAUUUAAAACAGGGCAAGUCGUAACAAGGUAAGCGUACUGGAAGGUGCGCUUAGAAA